GUUUGGAAUGUUACAAGAAGAAGUUAGUAGGCCCUGAUCAAGAUACAAGGAGUCCUUGGGCCUGACAACACACACAGUUAAGGAGUUGCCACCUGUUCGGUGCCAUACCAUAGUAAGUUUUU
rnacentral:snRNA from 1 species